ensembl:lncRNA
AAAAAUAUGUUAAACUAGAGUCUGUCUAACCAUUUUUGUCUUGGUAUAAAUAGCAUGUGUAAAAUGCACUGGCUGAGAAACAACUUAAUGUAUGUAGGCCUACUGGUAUACAGUAGGUCUACCUGUUAGAUACAUAGGAGUUGGUUAAAAUAAUAAAGAGAAAUGUGUAGUCCUGUGUGACUGAUCUCAUUUUCUAAAUAUUGAUUGGUAAAAUUUUGUCAAAAACAUUUAUCAGGCAUGUUAUGAAGAGGCCACGGAACAUAGUGUGACCCUGAAUAACCUACACAGCAGGGCUUGACAGUAACGGCUGCCCAUUGCCCCAGGCAACCAGAUUUGGACCACUGUCAACAAUUUUGUGCUGUCUGGUCGUCUGUGUUGGCAACAGUUCUCCAGUGCUUAGAAAAGCAAAGCUAAAUCCCUCAGAGAACAGUCUUCAAACUAAGCAAAAGUGCCCUCGUUGAACUAUUUCACUGCGUGAGAAAUAGAAGAAAAAAUGAAUAAUAACACAAUAGAUCGGUAUUAUUGCCAAAUAAGACGAGCCAAAUCUCCGGAAAAGUUUAGGAGUUAAAUACUGUGUAUGUUUGGGGAAAAAAAUGCACCUUAAACUCUGUAACAUGAGAAAAAAAAAAAAAAAGACUCAUCCUGAUAUUUAUCAAUAUCAGUUCGGGUAAGGAGGCAGGGGCAAAAACCAACACAGCGGGUCACCUAUGGAAAGAUUAAUCAACAAUGCACUUCAACUAUUAGCGCAGUAAAUCGGUGCUGUGUUUUUGACAAGAAAGACCCCUUUUCAGACUCGACCGGUGUCUCUAGAAAAGAAAAGGAAAAAAAGAAAAAAAAUUAAACCCGGCUUGCAGGAGUUAAAUAUUAAUCCCUUUGUAAUUUAACAUCCUAAAUUCAUUACCUUGCAAAUGUGAAAUUUAUAUUCAGUGGCAUCAUUCUUUCAUUCUUACUUUUACUUUGGAUUGUUAAUAAAGCUGAGCCUCUUGUUCUUAAUCGAAUCCAUGAUGCUUGUUGCUAGGGAUACAGCUAUAACUUUAUGCCAGUUAAUUACAUUUUAGAGUUACUUGAUUUGAUGCAUAUAAUUACUUACUUACAUUUAUUUUGGUUAGCUGAAUUGUAAAAAUGAUUAAGGGUGCAUGCAGUGAUAUACCCUCAGUAUUAGCUAACAACAGCCUGCCUUAAAUCUCCCUAUACACUUUGCCUGUGCCUUCUUAAGUACCAGGGCUUUCAG